UAUAGUGGCUGCUCCGAGGUUUCUCCGCAAGGAGAAUUAAACGGGAAUCCGGUGAAAAUCCCGAACUGCCCCGCAGCUGUAGCAGGUGCGAACUUUGCGCGGAAUGACAA
rnacentral:ncRNA from 2 species